rnacentral:rRNA from 1 species
GAUGAACGCUAGCGGCAGGCUUAAUACAUGCAAGUCAAGGGGCCAGCAAUGGCACCGGCGGACGGGUGCGCAACGCGUACACAACAUACCUUUGAGAGGGGGACAGCAUUGGGAAACCGGUGGUAAUACCCCAUGAGAUCCUGUUGCGGCAUUGCGGCGGGAUGAAAGUUACGGCGCUCAAAGAUUGGUGUGCGUCUGAUUAGCUAGUUGGCGGGGUAACGGCCCACCAAGGCGACGAUCAGUAGGGGGUGUGAGAGCACGGCCCCCCACAUGGGUACUGAGACACGGACCCAACUCCUACGGGAGGCAGCAGUAAGGAAUAUUGGACAAUGGGCGGAAGCCUGAUCCAGCCAUGCCGCGUGAAGGACGAAGGCGCUCAGCGUUGUAAACUUCUUUUGGACGGGGACAAACCGCUCGACGCGUCGGGCGCUGAGGGUACCGUCAGAAUAAGCACCGGCUAACUCCGUG